GUGUCACUGCUACACACACUUUAAGAGCUGUAGUGCUGAUCAGAGUGUGUUCAGUCCUUUCAGAGCCACUGACACGCAGCACAAUGAUGAUGGUACUGAGUCUCCUGCUGGGGACACUGGGACUCCUCGCUCACCAGUCUUUUGGGGAAAUCGUCCUGACUCAGUCUCCAGGAUCUCAGUCUGUUUCUCCAGGAGAAUCUGUUACUCUCACCUGUACAACCAGUCAGAGUGUUAGCAAUGCUCUCGCCUGGUACCUGCAGAAACCUGGAGAAGCUCCUAAACUCCUGAUCUAUGCUGCAUCUACUCGUCAGUCUGGGAUUCCAGAUCGUUUCAGUGGCAGUGGAUCUGGAACACAGUAUAGUCUAAAAAUCUCUGGAGUUCAGGCUGAAGAUGCAGGAGAUUAUUAUUGUCAGCAGUAUAGCAGCUUUCCAUACACACAGUGUUACAGCGUCGUACAAAAACCUCCCUGAGCUGUAGAGGAAGUGCUCUGACUCAGAAACACACACUGAUCUGAGAACAGCUGCACAGCUGCUAAAGCUGCACUCCACUGAACAUCAUCAAACAUCUUCAUGUUUCAAAAAUAAUCCUUCUUAAAAAGCAGAAAUCUCUUCAUCAGCUGUUCGUGCUGUGAUGAGAAAUCAGCUGAUGUGUGUAAUGAUAUCUGAUGAUUUCC